GUAACUGUUUUUUAGUUCCCGUGUAUUUGUUCAAGGGAGAAUAAUGUAUGGUGAAAUAAAAGAUUCUAGUGGGAUUUCUCAUGUUACAACAACAAUUGUUGCAGAUGAUGUAGUAUUUCUUGGUGAUUCACGCAGCAGACAAAUAGAACAAGAUGAAGAUUAAUAUAUUAAACUUGUGAUUUUAAAAAUGUUUUCAGUUUGCAGUCUAAUGUUGUAUAUUUGUCAAUAAAGAUUCUAUUUCUAA